GGAGGAAGAAAAAAAAAAGAAUAAACCGAGGGGAAGAAGGAGGAAGGAAAAAAAAGAGAAUAAACCGAGGAAAAGAAGGAGGAAGAAGAAGAGAAUAAAAAAUGAUAUAAAUUUUACCCAAAUAGUACAACGUUCGCCUAAAAGAGACAGUGGAGUCGGCGGGGCUGCGGGAGGGGCAGAGCGCGGGGAUCGACGAGGGGUGCGGGGCGUCGGGGCCGGAGGAGCGGCGGCCGGAGUCGGUGGCGCGGCACUGGCGCAUGCGAGGCGGCAGACAUGGCGGGCGACGAGGAGGUUGGCGCCGUUAAAAUUAAAUUACACUGUUAAUAAUAAAUUGCACUAUUUUAAAAAAAAUUAUACUAUUUAAGGUAAAUGUUACACUCCUUAAAAUAAAAAUUACCCUGUUUGAAACAAAAAUUACACAAUUUCGCCCAAAUUUACACCAUUUCGUCAAAUUUUACACAAUUUCGCCCAAAAUUGCACUAUUUCUCCUUUUUCUCCUCUUCCUCUUCCUUCUUAUUUUUUACACCAUUACACCAUUACAUCGUAACAACAAAAAUCUUCUAAAAACCGAGCCGGAUUCGCCUACGGCACCGACUCGCCCCAUCCCUCCUUUGCCUCCUUCGCCACUUCCGUUCGAGCACGAGAACGAGCGCGAGCGCGAGUGAUCCCCGUAUC
rnacentral:lncRNA from 1 species